AGAGUUUGAUCCUGGCUCAGGACGAACGCUGGCGGCGUGCUUAACACAUGCAAGUCGAACGGAAAGGCCCCUUCGGGGGUACUCGAGUGGCGAACGGGUGAGUAACACGAGGGUGAUCUGCCCUGCACUUUGGGAUAAGCCUGGGAAACUGGGUCUAAUACCGAAUAGGACCGCAUGCUUCAUGGUGUGUGGUGGAAAGCUUUUGCGGUGUGGGAUGGGCCCGCGGCCUAUCAGCUUGUUGGUGGGGUAAUGGCCUACCAAGGCGACGACGGGUAGCCGGCCUGAGAGGGUGUCCGGCCACACUGGGACUGAGAUACGGCCCAGACUCCUACGGGAGGCAGCAGUGGGGAAUAUUGCACAAUGGGCGCAAGCCUGAUGCAGCGACGCCGCGUGGGGGAUGACGGCCUUCGGGUUGUAAACCUCUUUCAGUAUCGGCGAAGCUCCAGGAUUUUUCUUGGGGUGACGGUAGGUACAGAAGAAGCACCGGCCAACUACGUGCCGGCAGCCGCGGUAAUACGUAGGGUGCGAGCGUUGUCCGGAAUUACUGGGCGUAAAGAGCUCGUAGGUGGUUUGUCACGUUGUCCGUGAAAACUCACAGCUUAACUGUGGGCGUGCGGGCGAUACGGGCAGACUGGAGUACUGUAGGGGAGACUGGAAUUCCUGGUGUAGCGGUGGAAUGCGCAGAUAUCAGGAGGAACACCGGUGGCGAAGGCGGGUCUCUGGGCAGUAACUGACGCUGAGGAGCGAAAGCGUGGGGAGCGAACAGGAUUAGAUACCCUGGUAGUCCAA
rnacentral:rRNA from 1 species